AUUAACUCCUCACGCCUCUUUCUUCCCCCAUUGCUUUCCUCUCUCCCUCGUUCCCCCUUCCAACCAGCGAUUUCCAGGAGGAUUUCGGCCACAUCUCCGACGACGGUGUGAUCUCCGGCGGUGGAAGCUUUCUAAUUGGUGGAAUACCUUCCUGUUGUCUUUCCAGAUGAGAGCAAACAACAAAACAUAGUAAAAUUUUCAGAUAGGGUCUCAAUUUACCGUGAACUCAAUGUAGUUGAAGACAACCGUAUUUGUUCACCUCUUUUCGGAUUGGUGAGGCGAAAUAUAUGUCAGAGAAAAAAGAAAAGAAGAUUUGAGGGGGAAGAAAGCUUUUGUGGCAUAAGAAGAUGACUUGAUGUAUCUUAGUUUGUUUAACUUCUUGGAUUGAUGGACUUGUUUAACUUUUGGAGUGUUGAACUUGUAUAAUAUUUUCGAGUAGCUUGAAGAAGACAGAUCUUGUAUAACUUGUUGAGACCUUUAUAUUUGUUGAAUUAUGAGUUGAGUUCAAUUAUUAAUAGAUGUAUGUGAAAUUAA